UCAAGACUCAUAUUCCUUUACAACUCCUAAUUCUUCUCAAAGAAACAGCCUCCUAACCCUAGCUGGCCUCUUUACCUCUUUAAUAGGGGUUGGCUUAUGUAGAUUUUAUAUGAAUGCCCCUUUCUAUUAAGACUCUCCUAGCUAGAGUCCUAAGAGACCCGCCCACUUCAAAUCAGACUUAUCCUCGAGGCUAAGAUUCCAUGAACUCUAGGAAUUUGAUUUUCAAAUCGUCAUAGUUCUCCCAAGUGGUGCCUUCUACUAGUAAGUUCGCCUACUAUAUUAACGCUUCAGUAGUAGGUCAUCGUCGUCGAGUCAUGAUCCGUCGAUCAAUUAUGACACUCGAUUGGGUCUGGAGUUCUUCUUGGGUAAUCAUAUUUGGUGGAUGGUUUUGGGCUGUCUCCAAGCACCUUUUCACCACUUCCGUCUA
rnacentral:lncRNA from 1 species